AUCCUUCUGACGAGCCCCAAAUAAAGCGAAACGCGCAUCCUGGAU
rfam:Schistosoma mansoni, Puerto Rico, WGS project CABG01000000 data, contig: 0124